AUUGAACGCUGGCGGCAUGCCUUACACAUGCAAGUCGAACGGUAACAGGUCUUCGGAUGCUGACGAGUGGCGAACGGGUGAGUAAUACAUCGGAACGUGCCCGAGAGUGGGGGAUAACGAGGCGAAAGCUUUGCUAAUACCGCAUACGAUCUCAGGAUGAAAGCAGGGGACCGCAAGGCCUUGCGCUCACGGAGCGGCCGAUGGCAGAUUAGGUAGUUGGUGGGAUAAAAGCUUACCAAGCCGACGAUCUGUAGCUGGUCUGAGAGGACGACCAGCAGAACUGGGACUGAGACACGGCCCAGACUCCUACGGGAGGCAGCAGUGGGGAAUUUUGGACAAUGGGCGCAAGCCUGAUCCAGCCAUGCCGCGUGCAGGAUGAAGGCCUUCGGGUUGUAAACUGCUUUUGUACGGAACGAAAAGACUCUGGUUAAUACCUGGGGCUCAUGACGGUACCGUAAGAAUAAGCACCGGCUAACUACGUGCCAGCCGCCGCAGUAACAC
rnacentral:rRNA from 1 species